rnacentral:rRNA from 1 species
UACGUAGGGGGCAAGCGUUGUCCGGAUUUAUUGGGCGUAAAGAGCGUGUAGGCGGCCAGAUAGGUCCGUUGUGAAACUCGAGGCUCAACCUCGAGACGCCGAUGGAAACCAUUUGGCUAGAGUCCGGAAGAGGAGAGUGGAAUUCCUGGUGUAGCGGUGAAAUGCGCAGAUAUCAGGAAGAACACCCGUGGCUAAGGCGGCUCUCUAGUACGGUACUGACGCUGAGACGCGAAAGCGUGGGGAGCGAACAGG